GAUGAAGAACGUAGCGAAAUGCGAUAAGUAGUGUGAAUUGCAGAAUUCAGUGAAUCAUCGAAUCUUUGAACGCACAUUGCGCCCCUUGGUAUUCCAUGGGGCAUGCCUGUUCGAGCGUCAUAUGUACCUUCAAGCUUUGCUUGGUGUUGGGUGUUUGUCCUGAGGGACUCGCCUUAAAGUAAUUGGCAGCCAGUGUUUGGUUUUGAAGCGCAGCACAAGUCGCGAUUCAAAGCUAUACGCCCGCUUCCACAAGCCUUUUUCACUUUUGACCUCGGAUCAGGUAGGGAUACCCGCUGAACUUAAGCAUAUCAAUAAGCGGAGGA
rnacentral:misc_RNA from 1 species